CCUACGGGAGGCAGCAGUGAGGAAUAUUGGUCAAUGGGCGCGAGCCUGAACCAGCCAAGUAGCGUGAAGGAUGACUGCCCUACGGGUUGUAAACUUCUUUUGUGCGGGAGCAAUAAUGGUCACGUGUGGCCAGACGAGAGUACCGUACGAAUAAGCAUCGGCUAACUCCGUGCCAGCAGCCGCGGUAAUACGGGGGAUGCAAGCGUUAUCCGGAUUUAUUGGGUUUAAAGGGUGCGUAGGCUGUGAGGUAAGUCAGCGGUGAAAUGCCCCCGCUCAACGGGGUGAAGUGCCAUUGAUACUGCCUUGCUGGAAUGCGGAUGCCGUGGGAGGAAUGUGUGGUGUAGCGGUGAAAUGCUUAGAUAUCACGAAGAACUCCGAUUGCGAAGGCAGCUUACUAAACUGCCACUGACAUUGAUGCUCGAAAGUGUGGGUAUCAAACAGGAUUAGAUACCCCAGUAGUC
rnacentral:rRNA from 1 species